rnacentral:rRNA from 1 species
CCUACGGGAGGCAGCAGUGGGGAAUAUUGCACAAUGGGGGAAACCCUGAUGCAGCGACGCAGCGUGAGUGAAGAAGUAACUCGGUGUGGAAAGCUCUAUCAGCAGGGGAGAAAAUGACGGUAUGUGAGUAAGAAGCUCCGGCUAACUACGUGCCAGAAGCCGCGGUAAUACGUAAGGGGCAAGCGUUAUCCGGAUUUACUGGGUGUAAAGGGGGCGUAGACGGCAGUGCAAGUCUGGAGGGAAAGGCGGGGGCUCAACCCCCGGACUGCUGUGGAAACUGUACGGCUUGAGUGCAGGAGAGGUAAGUGGAAUUCCUGGUGUAGCGGUGAAAUGCGUAGAUAUUAGGAGGAACACCAGUGGCGAAGGCAGCUUACUGGACUGUAACUGACGUUGAGGCUCGAAAGCGUGGGUAGCAAACAGGAUUAGAUACCCUUGUAGUC